CGCCGGGCCCGGGGCCGCGCCGCGCCGGGCAGGGGCUGCUGAGCUUCGGCGGCGAGGAGGAGCGGGAAGGUGAAGAGUUUUUUAAAGUUAAAAAGCCAUCCUUCAACGAAGUAACCUUUAGAAUUAAAAAGAAGGAAAGCUUACUGCCUGCACAGACAGAAGCUGAAGAAAGCAAAAAAAUCAGUCAGUUGGAGCCUGGAGUUGGCAACACCAAAGAUACUCAUGAACAGGAUGAGGACAAUGAGGAUGAAACUUAUUCUUCACUGAAUGAGGAUUACAACAGCUCAGACUCUGAAAAUGAAUCCAGCUCUCCACAGAGGAAGGAUUUAUCACCAAGCAAUAUCCCCAGUGCAGCUCACGUUGAGGCUGCUCGGAGGAAGCGUCACUUAGCCAGGACAGAGGCUGAUUAUCUUGCCCUGGAUGUUUCAAACAGUCCUCAGGUCCCUCAGAGAAGAGGAAGCAGUGAUUUAGAGAGUGAAGAUGAGUCUGAAACAAAGC
rnacentral:lncRNA from 1 species